GAUGAACGCUGGCGGCGUGCCUAAUACAUGCAAGUCGAGCGAAUGGAUUCAGAGCUUGCUCUUAUGGAGUUAGCGGCGGACGGGUGAGUAACACGUGGGUAACCUGCCCAUAAGACUGGGAUAACUCCGGGAAACCGGGGCUAAUACCGGAUAACAUUUUGAACCGCAUGGUUCGAAAUUGAAAGGCGGCUUCUGCUGUAACUUAUGGAUGAACCCGGGUCGCAUUAGCUAGUUGGUGAGGUAACGGCGCACCAAGGCAACGAUGCGUAGCCGACCUGAGAGGGUGAUCGGCCACACUGGGACUGAGACACGGCCCAGACGCCUACGGGAGGCAGCAGUAGGAAAUCUUCCGCAAUGGACGAAAGUCUGACAGAGCAACGCCGCGUGAGUGAUGAAGGCUUUCGGGUCGUAAAACUCUGUUGUUAGGGAAGAACAAGUGCUAGUUGAAUAAGCUGGCACCUUGACGGUACCUACCCAGAAAGCCACGGCUAACUACGUGCCAGCCGCCGCCGUAA
rnacentral:rRNA from 1 species